rnacentral:lncRNA from 1 species
CGGUGGAGGCCUGUUGUUCCCGCAGAUCCACGAGCUCCCUGGUGCCCUGGGGCUCCCUGAUGCCCAGGCGGAGCCGUGAACCGCUGACAGGCAGCAGUGGGCAAAGGAAACUCAUGAUCAUAUUUAAGGAGACCUGCUCUUCUCUGCCCCUCCCCAGAGCGAAGAAAAGGAUCCAUGUGAUCUAGAAGUACAGUGUGCUGGAUACUAUGAAUGUGGCCGGAACAUCAUUCAUUCAUUCAACAACUCAUUCCUUCAUCCAUUCAACAAAAAUUUACAGAGCUCUUCCACAAUUCCAGGGAAUAGGAAGAAUGAGUCUUGCUCCAAAGAGGAGACACCGUGUUGCCCUGGAAUCCAGUUCCUUUUCCUCGCGAUGUGGUGGAAGGUGCAGAGCCUGGAGCCAGACACAUCUGGGUUGAGCCUGACCCUCCCUCCGUCAAUCACCUAACUCCUCCGAGCCUCAGUCUUCUCCCCUGUUGAAAGGAAUGGUAACACUUCUCUCUAAUGUUAAGGGUUUAAAAGGAAGUGAUGUAAGGAU